AUGAUAUCGGCGGAACAGCGUCGUUACGUCGCAGGAACGCGGCGAUCCCGUCAUCCAUCAGUGCGUGGAUUUUAAGGAAAGAGCAAUGAUCUGACGUCCGAUGUUUGCGCCGCUCGUUCCAGCUUUCCACUAACUCUCACCAACUUUAAAUGAAAGCCCAUAUUCACAGACAGCUCAACAUGUCUUUCUGUCAAGAGCCGCAUAUGAGAUUGAACCCCGGCUGUUUGGACUCUCAUUCUGACGGCACCCAUUCACUGCAGAGCAUCCAUUGGUGAACAAGUGAUUUAAUGCUAUAUUUCUACAAAUCUGAUGAAGAAACAAACUCCUCUGCAUCUUGGAUGGCCUGAGGGGAUGGACUGGGACUAUAAAACAGCGGGGACAGAUGCCGGCUGUUAUUGAGUUCACUUGCUGUGGGAUCCAAAAGUCUGAGACCACAUUGAAAAUUGGUCAGCAGGAUAACGUGCGAAUGUGCAGCCCUGUUGCUUUUAACACAUGUGGAGCGAAUGGAGGCGACCUGUGGAGGCCACUGGCUGUGAACAGCGGCGUGUGACUGUGAGCAGACAGACUCUGUUGCUGCUGUCAGGUGGAGGGUGAAUAACGUGUUAACGACUUAAACCAGCGGAGAGCGAGUGUGAGGACGACCGGAGAGCCAGGCGAGAGGACAGAGGCGGUGGAGUAAGAAUCCACACUGCCCAUCUGUAUCUAGGCCACAGACUGAGAACAGCGAGGGUCCUCGAGGGAGGAUAAACAUGCAGCUCGCCGUACAACAACAACAAGCAGUGGAAUGGACCUGCUAGAAAACACAGUCUAAUGCAAUCAUGACCAUGAAUUAGCAACAAAAAAUGUGAUUCUGUUUACUUUCUGAAUGCACAGUGAUCUUUUUAUGAACGAUUCAUAGGUGCAUGUUAUUCCAAAAACGUGAUGUCAAAAAAUCAGGGUUAUUAAACUAAAACCAAAACCAU
ensembl:lncRNA